rnacentral:rRNA from 1 species
AUUGAACGCUGGCGGCAGGCCUAACACAUGCAAGUCGAGCGGAGCGGCGGACGGGUGCGUGAUGCCUAGGAAUCUGCAUGGUAGUGGGGGAUAACGUCCGGUAAUGGGCGCUAAUACCGCAUACUAUCAGAUGAGCCUAGGUCGGAUUAGCUAGUGGGUGGGGUAAAGGCCUACCAAGGCGACGAUCCGUAACUGGUCUGAGAGCAUGAUCAGUCACACUGGAACGGAGAAACGGUCCAGACUCCUACGGGAGGAAGCAGUGGGGAAUAUUGGACAAUGGGCGAAGGCCUGAUCCAGCCAUGCCGCGUGUGUGAAGAAGGUUUUCGGAUUGUAAAGCACUUUAAGUUGGGAGGCGUUACCAACAGAAUAAGCACCGGCUAACUACGUGCCAGCAGCCGCGGUAAUAC